GGGGAUGUUCUGGCUUCGACGCUGGUGAUGAAACUCAAUGAUGCAUGUCGAGAGUGUAUGUCCUCUCGUAAAUCAAACAUAUAUUGUUAUAGUCGCAAACGACGAAACUUACGCUCUAGCAGCUUAAACCCUGCUUACUGCGCUGCCGAUUACCUAUAGUUGGUUAGCCCAGUUGAAGCGUCCGUAUAUAGGUUCGCCACAAGGGAUUGUCUCAAUCGCUUGGGUUCAAAAGUAGAGA
rnacentral:tmRNA from 1 species